GGCAAGGCAUUUCCAGGCAAUUCCAAACAAUUCCAGACAAGGGAAAUCUAGACAAGGCAAUUCCAAAAAACUCCAGGCAAGCCAAUUCCAGGCAAUCCCAGGCCAGGCAAUUUUAGGCAAGGCAAUUCCAGGGAAUUUCAGACAAGGCAAUUUCAGGCAAGACAAUUUUUAUCAAUUCCAGGAAAGACAAUUCCAGGUGAGGCAAUACCAAGCAAGGCAAUUCUAGGCAAUUUUUAAGCAAGGCAAUUCAAUGGAAUCCCUUACAAGGCAAUACCAUGGAAUUUAUUUCAAAGCA
rnacentral:lncRNA from 1 species